CGCAGAAGCACCACCUUUGCCAGUUACAGCCAUAUAUACACAGAGAUUAAAACUACAAUUGCGGGCGAACGGCGGCGUGGAUCAGACCAAGUCUGCAGCAUGGAAACAGAGAGGAGGGGGUUACAGAGCAGCCUGCAGUUAUUGGACGAAGAGACCCAGCACAGCAGACUUAGGGAAGAAGUGAAUGCAUGGAUAUAUGCAUGCCAAGUCAAUAACAUCCACAAGCACAAGACAUUUAGACUGCAAAGAGUCCACAUAAAGCCCAAAAAUCUUAUCUAAUCAAUGUUUC